rnacentral:rRNA from 1 species
UGGGGUAUCUUAGGCAAUGGAGGAAACUCUGACCUAGCUACGCCGCGUGCAGGAAGACACCCCUACGGGGCGUAAACUGCUUUUCUGCGAGAAGAAGGCGCCAUAUUCUGGCGUUUGACGGUACCGCAGGAAUAAGGACCGGCUAACUCCGUGCCAGCAGCCGCGGUAAUACGGAGGGUCCAAGCGUUGUCCGAAAUUACUGGGUGUAAAGGGUGUGCAGGCGGAGCAGUAAGUCAGAGGUGAAAGCCCGCGGCUCAACCGCGGAAUGGCCUUUGAUACUGCUGUUCUUGAGUCCCGGAGAAGCCAUCGGAAUUCGUGGUGUAGCGGUGAAAUGCGUAGAUAUCACGAGGAACAUCAGAAGCGUAAGCGGACAACUGGACGGUGACUGACGCUCAGGCACGAAAGCGUGGGGAGCAAACAGGAUUAGAUACCCCCGUAGUCC